ensembl:lncRNA
AUUAGUUGUCUGCAGGCUCCAUCUCAUAUAUUCUUUGAAUUCAGUAAGGUACUGAAACACUACACCAGGGUUUGGCUGGUGAUUUGAGACUACAGCAGAUGUAAUUAGGCUCAGGCAUGCUGAUAGAAAACUCAGGACUGCUCUUACAGUAUGUGUGCACUAUAAAUGAAGCUCCUGUUGUUAUGAAGGAGCCUGUUUUCAGUUUCCUGCCAUUCCUGUUGCAGCACAGCUCAAUUCUGCAGCAGGGAAUCCUUUUAGACAAGGGCGAUAAGAAUUGACUACUAUGGGUUAGCCUGACAUGCUUGUGUAAAGGCCUGGAUACUUUAUUCAUGUGAAUUCCAUCAGAUAUUCAGCACAGAUCAUGUACUCUUACAGAUGAAAACUGCAUAAGUGUUUGAAUAUGAGAACCAUGCCCUGGGAUCUUGUACCUGAAUUGCUGCGGAGACCAGCUUCAGGACAGUAGUGUCUUUGGAAAUUGAAGAUUCUGUAACUUAAAUUCAUCUUAAUCAGGUAUAUAUAAAUGGCAUGGAAUUUUCUAUUAAUCAGUUUUCAACAAGGCUAGCUUGUGUGUGUGUGUGUGUGUGUGUGAGUGUGUGUGUGUGUGUGUUGGUAUUUAGAAGUACACAAUUAUAUACAGAGACUAUGUAUUCUGUUGGGAACACUGCCAGUCAUUAUUUGUUACUCUCUGUAUGUUAUUUCCAUAAAAAGAACAUAUUUCUGAAAUUUAAAGAUUCACCGGGAGUCCACUGGUUUCUGG